UUGUUCACGCUCGGGCCUGAAGUGCGGAGUGCCCCUUACUCAUUGUCCUAUUCUGUUCUCGUUGUAGAUCUGUUCUGAACAUCAGAGAUUUUUUCAGCUCUAAGCAGUGCUUAUCUACACAGUUCGCAUUAUCCUGGGAAGGCAAAAAGUUGAGGACUCGGUUUGUAGAAGCAUGGUAUCAUGGUAGAGAACGGAGUACAGCUGACACUGACGUCCACUGUGAAGAGUACAAGCAAGGCACGAAUCAAUGGAGAAGGGUUGAAUGGAUCGCAUACCAAAGAAAAGCUUGAACAAAAUGGCACCCUACAAGCAUCAAAAGGCCAAAAGCAGCAUCAGUGUGCAACAUGCGCGAAAGGGCAUGCAUGUCAGCUAGUCAUUAACCGGACAAGACAAAUGAGAGUCCUGAUCGAUAAGAAGAAGCCUUACCAAGCACAUUCCAUAUUCAAGCACCUAGUGGAUGAGGGUCACAAGCCUUCAUUGGUCACAUACACAACUCUACUGACUGGCAUGACAAACCAGAGGAUGUUUGAAUCAAUUCCAUCAUUGCUUGCUCAAAUUGAGCUUGCUGGACUGAGGCCAGACUCCAUCUUCUUCAAUGCCUUGAUCAACGCGUUUGUCGAGGCAAAGCGGAUGAGCGAAGCAAUAAACACAUUCUGGAAAAUGAAGCAUUUUGGCUGCCACCCAACCACAAGCACCUUCAACACACUGAUCAAAGGAUACGGCAUUGUAGGCAAACCUGAAGAAUCACAGCGCAUCUUUGACAUGAUGGGUGUCGAAGUAUCAGUCAGGCCUAACCUGACAACAUACAACAUUCUCGUCAAGGCGUGGUGUGAUCAGAGAAAUCUUGAGGAGGCCUGGACCGUCAUGGGCAAGAUGCGAGCGUGCGGUGUCGAGCCUGAUAUUAUCACGUACAACACCAUAGCCAGCGCAUAUGCCAAUAAUAGCGAGACAUGGAGAGCAGAAGAGCUCAUCGUGGAAAUUCAGACUAGAGUGCGCACCAGCGAGCGAACAUGGGGCAUAAUCAUUGGUGGUUAUUGCCGGGAAGGCAGGUUGGAGGAGGCAUUCCGUUGCGUUCGGCAAAUGAAGGGUGCAGGAGUCCUUCCCAACGUUGUCAUCUUCAACACAUUGCUGAAGGGCUUCCUCGAUUCAAAUGACAUGGCUGCAGUUGAUAAUAUCCUUGGGCUGAUGGAGCAGUUUGGCAUAAAGCCAGACAUUGUCACCUACAGCCACCAGUUGAACGCAUUCAGCUCGCUUGGCCACAUGGCCAAAUGCAUGAAGGUGUUCGACAAGAUGAUUGAGGCAGGAAUCGAGCCAGAUCCUCAGGUGUACAGCAUUCUUGCCAAAGGAUACGUCCGUGCUCAGCAGCCUGAGAAAGCAGAAGAGCUCCUCCUGCAAAUGAGCCAGCUCGGUAUCCGCCCAAAUGUCGUCACUUUCACAACUGUCAUUAGCGGGUGGUGCAGCGUAGCUGACAUGGAAAAUGCUAUGAGAGUCUAUGUGAGGAUGCGCGACUCAAGCGUCCAUCCUAACCUCAGGACAUUCGAGACGCUGAUAUGGGGUUACAGUGAACAGAAGCAGCCAUGGAAAGCUGAGGAAGUCCUUCAGAUGAUGCAGGAGGCUGGUAUCAAGCCAAAGCAAAGCACCUACAGUCUCAUUGCUGACGCAUGGAAAGCUGUUGGCUUGAUUGAGAACACCAAUCGGGCAAAUGGUUCCUCCAAUGGUCGUCAUGCGAUCGACAAAUCAGAUCAUUUAGAUGAUGAUAACAACCUGCAAAGAUCAGAAGACGAUAACAAGCUGCAAAGUUUCGAAGAAAGUAAUGGACACACAAUGAAUGGUCCGUCUCAUUCCAGUUUUCUGCAGGUGACAAGAGCGCUAGGAAGCAGUGGUAUAGUUCCUUGCAAGAUUCAGAAGGCAGUAGAAUUUCCAUCCAAAAGUCUACACGCUGUUAAGAAUACAUCCUUGCUACAACGAUCUUGUCAGUUUCAACUGCGGUAUUCCGGGUUUUGCAGGAAGCAGCUGCAGAAGCAGAAGCAUGGUGGAUUAUACAGGCAGAGCACUAACUCAUUCAAGAUGUCUUUUAGUGUUUCUGUGGAAAGAUAACUUGAUCUGAAGUACAUUGCAAAAAAAGGGGGCUUAAUCUGAAGCUGCGAAAGGUGCCAACAUUCUGAUAUCAUUCAGUUCCGAGUCUGUAGCGUGACCGAUUUGUGAGGACACUCUGUUCAGUUUGAAGCACAGUUUACUUCUAAAGAUACUAAAUCAAAAUUAAUUUCUCUGGAAGACUUCAACUGAAUUCUUGCAGCGCUUGUUAGUGACCCCCAAGUAGCUCCACAGCAACGUCAUUUGCCCUGAGAAGCUGAUGUUAAUUAUUCUAGUUAUUCCGUUUUAGCAAUGAUAUCUGCAAAGUGUUGCAAACUGAAAUGUUUGUGCUGAUUGUAAUUCAAGGAAUUGUAAAAUUUAUUAGGUGUAACUAAUGAAUAUAAAUGUACAGGGAAAGAUAUUUUUCCCCUUCUCCUUA